UUUUAAUUUUAAUUAUCAAAAUGAAAAACCCACAAAAAGCAGGUUGAUAAUAUCCACUGUAGAAGAUACAUAGGAAAGGACUGUGCUGUUGGUGGGUAUGUAAAUUGAUGAAAAUUUUCUGGAGAUGAAAAAUCAAAACUUUAAACGUAUGUGCUGUUUGAUCCAGAAAUUUUACCUUAGUAAUAUACCCUAUAGAAAAUUUCAAGGAUGUUCAUUACAGUAUUAUUUGUGAUAGAAAAAAAAAAACAGGGAUAGCUGAAAUAUCUAUCAUAGUGGGGAUGUUACAUGAAUUGUAAUACAUUCUUACUAAGAGAUAAGGCUUUAAAAUAUGUGGUAGGUCUCCAUGUACAUAUGUGAUGAAUUAUCAAGAGAAAAAACAGUACCUCAUUCACGUAGUAUGCCAUAAUUAUUUUUCCUUUCCUGCACAACUUUUUGUUUUUCUUUUGGAUUAAUAAUUGUCUUUUUUGUGUACUUGGUCUUCUGUGUACUUAGCCCUUGUUCACCUUCAAUUACUCCCUCAAUUGUUUCAGUCUCCUCUGAUGAAACACAUUGGAUCAUGUAUGCACAUCUUUCCUGACCUCUCCAACUCUCAGCUGGCUGCUGUCUGGUUAUCAUCUUAUCUCCAUCUACCGUCAUCCCAAGAGGAGCCCUUCACCUUUCUCUAGAGUCGCAUCCUCUGUUUCCUGCAUUUUGAUGAGCAUCUGCUUUUUAUAACUUCGUGACUGUAGCAAAUAUUGUGGGUGCCCUCCCCAGAUUCCUUUGAUAUUUGAAAUUUUGUAUCCAUUGUUGGAUAGACAGGCACCUCUGAGGGGUUUUCUUGGUCUAUUCACCAGAGAAGCCCUCUCAGCCAGUGAGGGCAGUUUUGGUGCCUGUUUUGUCUCUUGCAGUUUCUCAAAAGGAUUGAGUCCCAGUUGUCCAUUGAGGUGACCUAUCCAAUAAAGGAUUCUUGUUUUGUUUCUUUCUCUUCUUUGUCUUAGUCUACUAUUCCCCUAACAGUGCUCCCUAGGAUCACCUCCCAAAUAAACUAUUUGUACUAAAAUCCUUGUCUCAGAGGUUGUUUCUGAGGGAACCCAAAUCAGAGAUAUUUUGCAUGUUUGGAAAAAGUCUUUAGUAUUGAUAUAGUUGGAUAUAGAAUUCUAGGUUGUAAGUCAUCUUAUGAAAGUUGAAGUCAUUACUCCCUUAUAUAUCAGCGUCUAUUAUUUUUGAAAAACUGAACACCAUUCUGAUUCUUGAUCCUUUGCAAUAUAACUUGAUUUUUUUCUUUCUGGAAAUUUUAGAUCUUUCUCUUUGUUUCAAGUGUUCCAAAAUUUCAUGAUACUAUGCUAUGAUGUAAGUCCAUUUUUUUUUUUAUCGUGAUAGGUACUGGGUGAACUCUCAAUUCUUGAAACUCCUACCUUACAAGUCUGGGAUAUUUGUCUGAUUUAUUUAUUUAUUUUAUUGAUAAUAUUCCUCAUUCUAUUUUCUCUGUGAUGUCUAUCUGGAACUUUUAUUAUCUGAUGUUGAAGUUCCUGAUCUACCCUUAAUUUUCUUCAUAUUUUCUACUUCUUUUUCAUCUCUCUUCCUCUCUUUCUCUCUCUCUCUGUCUCAUUUCUUGCUUUACCUUUUUGGAGAAAUUUUUUGAACUCUAAUUUUUUUCCUUGAAAAAUUAUGAAAUAAUAUUCUUAUUUUGUGGAUGCUAUUAUCUUUCGAUAUCUCUCUAAGGUUAUAAAUGAUAGCUUUUUAUUUGAGGCUUUCCUCUUUCAUAGUGUCUUUCCUCCAAUCAGUUCCCCCCCCCCCCCCCGCUUUUUGUUUUGAGUUAUGCAUUCUAUGUUAAAGCAUUUUCUCAGCUAUCUGAUAAUCCUUGGUUGUCUUUUUAGGGACACUCACAAGUUGAUUGAAGGCUCUGUGUGCAUGAAUGAAGUUGUCACCUGUGUGUUUUGCUCUAGUAUCCCAUGGUCAGGCCACUAUAUAAUCUUUGUGUUUGCUACUUUUGAUAACUGAAAAAUCUUUCAUAGAGUAAAUAUAACAUAAUUGAUUGAUAUUGAGCUACUGACUGAUACUGAGUAUGCAUUUAAAGUUGUUACUAGAAAUAAUUCUCAGAUGGACAUCUUUUGACACGUAUUGGAUUAUUUCCUUGGAAGAGAGUUUAUUUUCUGAGUCUGUCAUCUUCAUGAAGAUGCCACAGAGCAGGAAAGGGUCCACUGGCCUGCCAUUGGGCCGCUAUGAUGGCAACAUUGUGGUAAGGUUGUUGUCUGUCUUCAGAGUAAACAUCCCUGUGGGACCAGGUCAGUGGGGGAAUGAGUCCAAGUGUCUUCAGACUUUUUUAGAUGCAAAGCCCAAAUUCAUCUUGAUUUGAUGCAUUGCAGUAUCAUCCUCUUGUUCAGCUUUAGAGAGGAAGAUAUUUUGCUACUUUUUUAGAAUGCCUAGGAAUGUCAGUGAUAGAGAAAAUUUAAUGUAGAAUUCAGUAGUUUCACAUUAUUAGAACUUAAACAUUUGGUGAGUUGUAAUGGUCAUAAAUGACAUAGCAUGUGGUGUUAUUUUCCCUAGUCGGCUUUACUGAGGCAAUAAUGGGGUUCAUCUACAGGAAAAUUACCUGUUAAUAUUUUUGUCCUUAAGGAACUGGACUGGCAUUACCAAUUCACUCCUCUUAGCUAUUGAACUCCGUGGUAAUGUAUCUCUGAUUUGUCUGUUUUACCUUGUUACCUGGGGAGAGUGGAUAGCAGAUAGCAGGUAAAUGGAUGGACUUGAUGCCAUUCAUUUUCUCUCCCCCAAAAGAUUAUUCUAACCAUUGUUAUGGAUUGAAUUAUGUCUCCCAAAAAAGAAAUGCUAGAGUCCUAACCCAUGGUACCUUAAUAUGUGACCUUAUUUGGAGAUAAGGUCUUUACACAAGUGAUCAAGUUAUAAUGAGUCACUAGGUGGGCCUUAAUCUAAUGUGAAUGGUGUCUUUAUAAAUUGGGGAAAUUUGGAACCAGACAUUCAUAGAGAGAAGAUGGUGUGGAGAGACAGAGGGAGAGAUGCUCAUCUAUAGGCAAGGAGAGAAGACCUCAGAAGGAGCCAACCUCGGUGACAUCUUGACUUUGGACUACUAGCUCCCAUAGCUACAAAACGAUAAAUUUCUGUUGUUUAACCCACCUUGUUUGUGGCGUUGUGUUAUAGCAGCCCUAGCAAACUAAAACAAUCAUUUAUUCCAUCCCAGUUUAUUAAUCCAGCUCUUUGUGCCAUAGCCUCUGAGCACCUUUCCACGGAAGAAAAUCUUAGCUUUAGGAGAAUGUCAGGUUCAUUUAUGCUAAACAGACAAUAAUUUUCUAACCUCCUAAUAGUAAGUAUUAAGAGAUUUUAAAACAUAACUGUUGCUUUUUUUCUCCCCUUAUUUCUGAAUUUAGAAAAAAUAAUCUCAUUCGAAAUGUCGUUUUCAUAUAUGUUAGCAUGCCAAUUAAAAUAUAGGCUUCUGGGUUUUGCCUGGAUUGUCGUGAUAAAGCUAAUUAUGAACCCAACACCCCGACUUUCUAAGUUUCCUCUUCUCAAAUCAAGCUGGCAGUUCUGUGAGUGUAAAAGCACCGAAUGGUCAUUACCAGUGUGUGAUGAAAUCAUCGAUGAAGAGUUGACAGUUCGUAAGGCAGAGUAAUGGUACUCAGAUGUUUUGUUUUCUCCUUGUGACAUGAGCAAGAUCAUAAUUACAGCAUAUUUCAAAUCAUUGCUUACAGGGAAAUGACUCACUCCAUUAUACAGUACUUCGUUGGGGCCCCAGCCAUGGAUAGAGACAAAUAUCUUCCUGUCCAUGGUUUUCUCCAAGACAGUGGGUCUCCAGCGUCAGAGGCUAUAGUGGCUCCAAUCGCAAUCAUCCACCUGCAUCCAGCAACUCCUUAGACGUCAGAGUUCCCCAAGGUGUCUUCCUUCUCUUGUCUUUCCAUUUGUUCCUGCUGGGCAAUUACCACCCAUUCCCUGGGCUCCAACAGAUAUUGAUGACUCCCACAACUGCAUCUCCUAUUCCCAACUGCCUCCUCAACUCCAGACCUAUCUCACGAUUACAAAAAACGUUACUGACU